UUCCUUUCUCAUUUUGAUAUGAAUCUUGGCACUGGCUUCUCACAAUUUGGAAAAUAAAUUUAUAUACACACACACAGUGUUGAGAAAACAGCCAGCAGUUAAGUGCUUUUUGUGGAAGUGAUCCUCACAUGACCUUAGUACUGUAUGCUUCUCAGAUUGAGGUUUUGGAAGGGGAAUCCAUUCAGCUCUGCUUUUGUGGAAGUGAUCCUCACAUGACCUUAGUAUGCUUCUCAGAUUGAGGUUUUUGAAGGGGAAUCCAUUCAGCUCUGCUUUCCAGGGAAUUCUUUUUCUUGGACAUUGUGUGGCAACCGGUGAGUGGUCUGGCUGGUUCGGGGGUGGGGGAGAGAACAGACCUCCAUGGCACUUGUGCUGCCACAACUCAUAUUCAUAUCUUCAGGUACUGUAUAAGGAUAUGAGCAGCCCAUCUCUAAAGGUUAUCAUGCAGCACAUAGAGUUUUGGUCCUCUGAUGUGAAACAUUCCAAACUUUUUUUAAAAAAAAAUCUUUGGCUAAAUAUAGACUAUUUUCACUUUGGGGCCCCCAAAAAGCACAAAAUAUUUCCCUUUAAACAAACACACAACCCAAAUAUUGCCAUCACUGAGGCCUGGUGCAGCCUGUCAUGGUGACUGGAGGCAAAAAGCUCCCCCCACCAGCUCCUGAAAGGAUCCACUGUAUUUUAGGAGAAGAGAAGACUCCCUGGAAACGCCCCUGAUGUUGGGAAAGUGUGAGGGUAAGCAAGUAAGGGGACGACAGAGGACAAGAUGAUUGGACAGUUGUCAUCAAAGCUACCAACAUGAAUUUGACCCAACUCCGGGAGGCCGUGGACGACAGGAUGCUCUGGUCUGUGGGGUCAUGAAGAGUCGGACACGACUAAACAACUAAACAACAACAACAUUUUAGGACAUUUGCUUAAUUUUUAAAAUAGAUUCCUACCUAGCCUCCAUGUAAAAAACUUAAUGAAUAAUACUAUGAAUGUCAUAACAUGUAACAGAGAAGAAUCAUUCAAGAGGUGGUGACAGUAGAUCAGAUGGAAUAGGUACUAAUAGGAUCAAUUCCUUGAAAAAUAAUCUUUCCAAGUACUGAUUCAUGUCUAAAUAUGGUCAGGGUCUGUAGCACACAGAUACCUAAGUUUUUUCUGCACCAUAAAGGUUUCAGUAAAGAAAUAUGAUCUACCUACUGCGUACCUGUGAAGCAGAUAGGAGCUGCAGUGGAGCUUACAUGUGAAAUCAUGGCAGAUUGGGUCCCAAGAUUUUAUAGUACACCAAAAUGUAAAUAAAAUAAAGAGUGAUUUGCUUUAAACA
rnacentral:lncRNA from 1 species